rnacentral:tRNA from 1 species
GCGUCGGUGCCCGAGUGGCCAAAGGGAGCGGCCUGCAAAGCCGUUGCGAAAGCUUCGUGGGUUCAAAUCCCACCCGGCGCU